GUUAGGAAUAUUGGACAAUGGACGCAAGUCUGAUCCAGCCAUGCCGCGUGAGUGAUGAAGGCCUUCGGGUUGUAAAGCUCUUUAGCCGAUGAUUAUAAUGACUGUAGUCGGAAAAUAAGCCCCGGCUAACUUCGUGCCAGCAGCCGCGGUAAUACGAAGGGGGCGAGCGUUAUUCGGAAUCACUGGGCGUAAAGCGUGCGUAGGCGGUUUUGUAAGUUGGGAGUGAAAGCCCAGGGCUCAACCCUGGAAUUGCUCUCAAAACUACAAGACUUGAAUGCGGGAGAGGAUAGCGGAAUUGUCAGUGUAGCAGUGAAAUGCGUAGAUAUUGACAGGAACACCAGUGGCGUAAGCGGCUAUCUGGACCGACAUUGACGCUGAGGCACGAAAGCGUGGGGAUCAAACAGGAUUAGAAACCCCGGUAGUCC
rnacentral:rRNA from 1 species